UUACCCUCCUUCUUCGCGAUCGGAGAAGAUCGGCCUUCAAACAACAGAGAAACCCUAGGUAUCAAACCCUAGGUGUAACCUUGGAAAUCCUUACUGGAAAUCUGAUCAGGAACGUUGGAGAGGAACCCAAAACGUCCACUGAGAGAGAAUCGAACCAUCGGAUGGCAGUAAAGCUUUAGGUUAAACCACCACAAACCCUAGAAGCCGAUAGGUCACCCAAAAAUCAACCAAAAAUCAUCAUAAAAUCUUCCAGAACGUUCAGGAGAAGAAAAUACACUCCGAUAUCACGACGAAAGACUCAGAAAGGUGUCCGAUAGAUCGGAAUCUUCAUCGACCGUGAGGUCUCAGAAAACACCCCCAAAACCUAGAAACAAACUUCAUCCAAGACAACGAAGUACAUAGAAACAUAGUCGGAUCGUCGUCGAGGCUCUGAUACCAUGUAAACAUUCAUAUUAGACCGGGAAAUCGUAAAAAAUCUAGAGAGAGAAAGUAGAGAGAAGGCAGAGCGUUUUGGAAUUCUCUGGAAGAUGAGAGAAGUAUAUUACAGAAAAUGAAAAUGAAA
rnacentral:lncRNA from 1 species